rnacentral:misc_RNA from 1 species
AACGCACAUUGCGCCCAUUAGUAUUCUAGUGGGCAUGCCUAUUCGAGCGUCAUUACGACCCCUAAGCCCCUGUUGCUUAGCGUUGGGAAUCUACGGCGUAGUUCCUUAAAAUCAGUGGCGGAGUUAGGGUACACUCUCAGCGUAGUAAUUUCUCUCGCUCGUGUGGUGGCCUUGGCUGCUAGCCGUUAAACCCCCCUAUAUUUUAGUGGUUGACCUCGAAUUAGGUAGGAAUACCCGCUGAACUUAA